GGUUAAGCGACUAAGCGUACACGGUGGAUGCCCUGGCAGUCAGAGGCGAUGAAGGACGUGCUAAUCUGCGAAAAGCGCCGGCGAGGUGAUAUGAACCUUUGACCCGGCGAUGUCCGAAUGGGGAAACCCAGUGUGAUUCGUCACACUAUCGUUAACUGAAUACAUAGGUUAACGAGGCGAACCGGGGGAACUGAAACAUCUAAGUACCCCGAGGAAAAGAAAUCAACCGAGAUUCCCCCAGUAGCGGCGAGCGAACGGGGAGCAGCCCAGAGUCUGAAUCAGCUUGUGUGUUAGUGGAAGCGUCUGGAAAGUCGCACGGUACAGGGUGAAAGUCCCGUACACGAAAAUGCACAGGCUGUGAACUCGAAGAGUAGGGCGGGACACGUGGUAUCCUGUCUGAAUAUGGGGGGACCAUCCUCCAAGGCUAAAUACUCCUGACUGACCGAUAGUGAACCAGUACCGUGAGGGAAAGGCGAAAAGAACCCCGGCGAGGGGAGUGAAAAAGAACCUGAAACCGUGUACGUACAAGCAGUGGGAGCCUCUUUUAUGGGGUGACUGCGUACCUUUUGUAUAAUGGGUCAGCGACUUAUAUUCUGUAGCAAGGUUAACCGUAUAGGGGAGCCGAAGGGAAACCGAGUCUUAACUGGGCGUUAAGUUGCAGGGUAUAGACCCGAAACCCGGUGAUCUAGCCAUGGGCAGGUUGAAGGUUGGGUAACACUAACUGGAGGACCGAACCGACUAAUGUUGAAAAAUUAGCGGAUGACUUGUGGCUGGGGGUGAAAGGCCAAUCAAACCGGGAGAUAGCUGGUUCUCCCCGAAAGCUAUUUAGGUAGCGCCUCGUGAACUCAUCUUCGGGGGUAGAGCACUGUUUCGGCUAGGGGGCCAUCCCGGCUUACCAACCCGAUGCAAACUACGAAUACCGAAGAAUGUUAUCACGGGAGACACACGGCGGGUGCUAACGUCCGUCGUGAAGAGGGAAACAACCCAGACCGCCAGCUAAGGUCCCAAAGUCAUGGUUAAGUGGGAAACGAUGUGGGAAGGCACAGACAGCCAGGAUGUUGGCUUAGAAGCAGCCAUCAUUUAAAGAAAGCGUAAUAGCUCACUGGUCGAGUCGGCCUGCGCGGAAGAUGUAACGGGGCUAAACCAUGCACCGAAGCUGCGGCAGCGACGCUUAUGCGUUGUUGGGUAGGGGAGCGUUCUGUAAGCCGUUGAAGGUGUCCUGUGAGGGGUGCUGGAGGUAUCAGAAGUGCGAAUGCUGACAUAAGUAACGAUAAAGCGGGUGAAAAGCCCGCUCGCCGGAAGACCAAGGGUUCCUGUCCAACGUUAAUCGGGGCAGGGUGAGUCGACCCCUAAGGCGAGGCCGAAAGGCGUAGUCGAUGGGAAACAGGUUAAUAUUCCUGUACUUGGUGUUACUGCGAAGGGGGGACGGAGAAGGCUAUGUUAGCCGGGCGACGGUUGUCCCGGUUUAAGCAUGUAGGCGGAGGUUCCAGGUAAAUCCGGUUCCUUAUUAACGCUGAGGUGUGAUGACGAGGCACUACGGUGCUGAAGUAACAAAUGCCCUGCUUCCAGGAAAAGCCUCUAAGCAUCAGGUAACAUCAAAUCGUACCCCAAACCGACACAGGUGGUCAGGUAGAGAAUACCAAGGCGCUUGAGAGAACUCGGGUGAAGGAACUAGGCAAAAUGGUGCCGUAACUUCGGGAGAAGGCACGCUGAUAUGUAGGUGAAGCCCCUGCGGGUGGAGCUGAAAUCAGUCGAAGAUACCAGCUGGCUGCAACUGUUUAUUAAAAACACAGCACUGUGCAAACACGAAAGUGGACGUAUACGGUGUGACGCCUGCCCGGUGCCGGAAGGUUAAUUGAUGGGGUUAGCGGCAACGCGAAGCUCUUGAUCGAAGCCCCGGUAAACGGCGGCCGUAACUAUAACGGUCCUAAGGUAGCGAAAUUCCUUGUCGGGUAAGUUCCGACCUGCACGAAUGGCGUAAUGAUGGCCAGGCUGUCUCCACCCGAGACUCAGUGAAAUUGAACUCGCUGUGAAGAUGCAGUGUACCCGCGGCAAGACGGAAAGACCCCGUGAACCUUUACUAUAGCUUGACACUGAACACUGGUCCUUGAUGUGUAGGAUAGGUGGGAGGCUUUGAAGCGUGGACGCCAGUCUGCGUGGAGCCAACCUUGAAAUACCACCCUUUAAUGGCUGGUGUUCUAACGUAGACCCGUGAUCCGGGUUGCGGACAGUGUCUGGUGGGUAGUUUGACUGGGGCGGUCUCCUCCCAAAGAGUAACGGAGGAGCACGAAGGUUAGCUAAUCCUGGUCGGACAUCAGGAGGUUAGUGCAAUGGCAUAAGCUAGCUUGACUGCGAGAGUGACGGCUCGAGCAGGUGCGAAAGCAGGUCAUAGUGAUCCGGUGGUUCUGAAUGGAAGGGCCAUCGCUCAACGGAUAAAAGGUACUCCGGGGAUAACAGGCUGAUACCGCCCAAGAGUUCAUAUCGACGGCGGUGUUUGGCACCUCGAUGUCGGCUCAUCACAUCCUGGGGCUGAAGUAGGUCCCAAGGGUAUGGCUGUUCGCCAUUUAAAGUGGUACGCGAGCUGGGUUUAGAACGUCGUGAGACAGUUCGGUCCCUAUCUGCCGUGGGCGCUGGAGAAUUGAGGGGGGCUGCUCCUAGUACGAGAGGACCGGAGUGGACGCAUCACUGGUGUUCGGGUUGUCAUGCCAAUGGCACUGCCCGGUAGCUAAAUGCGGAAGAGAUAAGUGCUGAAAGCAUCUAAGCACGAAACUUGCCCCGAGAUGAGUUCUCCCUGAGACUUUAAGUCUCCUGAAGGAACGUUGAAGACUACGACGUUGAUAGGUCGGGUGUGUAAGCGCAGCGAUGCGUUGAGCUAACCGAUACUAAUGAACCGUGAGGCUUAACCUU
rnacentral:rRNA from 1 species